rnacentral:lncRNA from 1 species
AAAAACUAUUAAUUUUCUCAAUUGGGCAUCACCAUUCGCCCGUUCAUCAGCGGCAGCAGGAGCUUCACAAGAAUCGGCGACGACGGCAUGGGUCGAGAAAGAAUUGUUUGACAUCUCAGCAACUUGUUCCUAGUACAAUAGAGUUCUUAGACGGGUAAAGAACAAAAAUACUAGUGUUAAAUUGACGAAUAGGGGAAGCUAUAAAUGGUACUUCUGUCGCCGGAGUUCAUUCUCUGCCGACGGCUAUGUUUUGAGAAGGGGCUAGCGAUGGGGGUUAGAGAGGAGGGUGGUAGAGGAUUUGGUUGUCAGGAGGGGGAUCUUGGCGGCGGCUGGUUGUUUAGAGAAGGGGCUGGCAGCUGCUUUUUUGUGUGAAGAAGAAGGGUUAGUUCAAACUUUCAAGUUAAAUUAAUGGUGGAGGCACAAUAAUGGAGAAAGUGGAGGAGACAAUGGUGGAAAU